rnacentral:rRNA from 1 species
GACGAACGCUGGCGGCGUGCUUAACACAUGCAAGUCGAACGGAAAGGCCCUGCUUUUGUGGGGUGCUCGAGUGGCGAACGGGUGAGUAACACGUGAGUAACCUGCCCUUGACUUUUGUAUAACUUCAGGAAACUGGGGCUAAUACCGGAUAGGAGCUCCUGCUGCAUGGUGGGGGUUGGAAAGUUUCGGCGGUUGGGGAUGGACUCGCGGCUUAUCAGCUUGUUGGUGGGGUAGUGGCUUACCAAGGCUUUGACGGGUAGCCGGCCUGAGAGGGUGACCGGCCACAUUGGGACUGAGAUACGGCCCAGACUCCUACGGGAGGCAGCAGUGGGGAAUAUUGCACAAUGGGCGGAAGCCUGAUGCAGCAACGCCGCGUGCGGGAUGACGGCCUUCGGGUUGUAAACCGCUUUCGCCUGUGACGAAGCGUGAGUGACGGUAAUGGGUAAAGAAGCACCGGCUAACUACGUG